rnacentral:lncRNA from 1 species
UUAGAAUACGUAUGAUUUGCCAAUGUUACUUCUAAUCUUUAAUAUAUAUUUUUCAUAAAACUUUUUCCACCUACCCAUCAAACACCAGAAAAUAACAAGGGUAAUUAACCGAAAUGGACAAAUAUACAUCUACGAUUUCAAAUUUCUCCCUCUACAAAGUGGACAAACGUCAACGUUGGCGUAAAUGGAAUAUUACAUAUUUGUAAAAGAAGAGUAGAAGACAGUUUGUGCACCUAUCAUAUCACGCGCUCUAUCUUUUCGCAGAAAAGGUUGUUCCUUUAAACAUCUUAUUUCGUAUAUUUUUAAUAAGCAAAGAUACCUUUUAAUUUUAAGCAUUGAAACUGCAAAUUAUUCUCCGGCUGCUGCCAGUUAUUCCACCUAACUCUAAGCGUAUCUACUGAUCUUAUUCCUAUCCUAACAACCUCGCCGUUUUCUGGUCUAGGGGGUAUUCAACCAAACUAGUUAAUCUCCAUAGAAAAUGCAGAUACAAAACAGAGGUGAUCAUGUCACCCAUGUCAUGUUUAGCUAAAAAGCUGAGUACCUAAAACAAAGACUGAAAAAAAAAGGCCCGACUUCGUGAUCCCAACAGAACAUAGCUGUAGAAGUGCGAGAAUGGGAAUCAAACAAGUUGUCGCCUUCAUGUUUAGCUAGAAAAUGAGAACAGAGAAAAUGGGAGGAAGUGUUCAUCCUUUUUCUCCUUCUACCUUAUUUUGCAGAUUCGUUUGCUUCCGUAGUUGUACUUUUACUUUCUAUCGGGCACUGGGAUACAUAAGGUUUCAGCUGAAAAAGAAAUUCAUCAAUUGCAAAGUGUUACAAACUUCACACAAAAUGAGCAAACACAAAGGUCACAAGUUUCAUAAACAUUUUCUACGAUCUAGAAAGAGAGACUAGUUUCUUUUACCUAGACUAUAGACUAUGUACAUAAUGCAGUUAUGUAAAUUCAUUAAUAAUUUCAAGAGAAGCUGAGACGGGGGAUCACUACCUUUGAAGAGGAUAGGAAAGCAGCGGCAACACAGAAUACAAGAAAGUAAAAUCUGAUUAAUGAAAAUUAAGCUCAUUUUCGGUCAUGUUUGAAAAGUCCAUGCCCUAAUCCAUGAGCUAGGAAAGUGUUAGGUCUAACCUACCUCAAGCACUACCUGUUUCAAGAUAUUAAAAGGCCUUGAAAAGAUUAAUAUAAUGGAAUAAUCCAAAGAAUGUUUUCAUUUUAGAUAACUUUUUGUAUCAAAAGCAAGUGGUGAUCUAAGCAAGUGCUGGGCCCAAACAGAAAGCAUAAGCAACAACGUGUUUCCUAGAAAGGGACUGAAAGUUAAAUAGCACUUAUUUCUUUUGAUGAAUCAGGAGUUCAUUAAUAAUACACCAAGAUAGUAUUAUCUUCACGAAAAGCGACUUGUAAAAGCUCAAGAACCUGGCAACUUCAAGCUGACCAACGUAUUAUCGAUAUCUACUUUCCAAGGCUAUUACCUCAUCUAGGAUGCGUCAUAGAAAAAGAGCAAAGACAACAAAGAGUGAAGUAAGAAAUCUAUUAUUUCAAUAGGCAGAUUUCCAGAGAGACCACAAUCUAGUUCCAAAUGUUAUAUAGUUUUUUAAUCAUCACAUGAACAGGAAAGAAGUUGCCACCGAGUGAUUUUGUUUACUCUAUGAACAGAAAUUAUAAAUAGUUCUUAGACAUGACUGAUCUAAUAUAUGCUGGCCUGUAUUACUUCACAAAGCCCUCAUGUGAAGAAACAAGGUGAUUACUUCUCCAAACCAACAAAAAUAAUAGAAGAUAAAGGAAAACAAGAUGAGUAAUGAAGAGAAUAACUACACACAGGUCCACUAGGAGCAUAACAGAAAGGAUUAUCACGCAUAGAUAUCCUAGGGAAGACUCCGAGUUUAAAAGUUGUAAAAUAUGCAUAAGGCAAAUUGACGGAAUUUUUAUCUCGUUAUCAUACACAAACAAGCUGCAAUGAAUUGGAUAUCCUCUAAAAGUUCGUCGCCA